rnacentral:rRNA from 1 species
AGAGUGAACGCUGGCGGUAGGCCUAACACAUGCAAGUCGAACGGCAGCACGGUAAGAGCUUGCUCUUAUGGGUGGCGAGUGGCGGACGGGUGAGGAAUACAUCGGAAUCUACCUUUUGGUGGGGGAUAACGUAGGGAAACUUACGCUAAUACCGCAUACGCCCUUCGGGGGAAAGCCGGGGACCAGCAAUGGCCUGGUGCUGAUAGAUGAGCCGAUGCCGGAUUAGCUAGUUGGUGAGGUAAUGGCUCACCAAGGCGACGAUCCGUAGCUGGUCUGAGAGGAUGAUCAGCCACACUGGAACUGAGACACGGUCCAGACUCCGUACGGGAGCAGCAGGUGGGGAAUAUUGGACAAGUGGGACGAAAGCCUGAUCCAGCCAUGCCGCGUGU